rnacentral:rRNA from 1 species
ACUCCUACGGGAGGCAGCAGUGGGGAAUAUUGCACAAUGGGGGAAACCCUGAUGCAGCCAUGCCGCGUGUGUGAAGAAGGCCUUCGGGUUGUAAAGCACUUUCAGUAGGGAGGAAGGUAGUGUAGUUAACACCUGCAUUAUUUGUACGUUACCUACAGAAGAAGCACCGGCUAACUCCGUGCCAGCAGCCGCGGUAAGUACGGAGGGUGCGAGCGUUAAUCGGAAUUACUGGGCGUAAAGCGCAUGCAGGCGGCCUGUUAAGUCAGAUGUGAAAGCCCGGGGUCUUAACCUCGGAAUUGCAUUUGAAACUGGCAGGCUAGAGUCUUGUAGAGGGGUUAGAAUUUCAGGUGUAG